rnacentral:rRNA from 1 species
UACAGAGGUCUCAAGCGUUGUUCGGAUUCACUGGGCGUAAAGGGUGCGCAGGUGGUCGGGUAAGUCUGACGUGAAAUCCCGCAGCUUAACUGCGGAAUGGCAUUGGAUACUAUUCGGCUAGAGGGUUGGAGGGGGGGACUGGAAUUCUCGGUGUAGCAGUGAAAUGCGUAGAUAUCGAGAGGAACACCAGUGGCGAAGGCGAGUCCCUGGACAACUCCUGACGCUGAGGCACGAAAGCUAGGGGAGCAAACAGG